rnacentral:rRNA from 1 species
AUUGAACGCUGGCGGCAUGCUUUACACAUGCAAGUCGAACGGCAGCGCGGGCUUCGGCCUGGCGGCGAGUGGCGAACGGGUGAGUAAUGCAUCGGAACGUGCCCAGUAGUGGGGGAUAGCCCGGCGAAAGCCGGAUUAAUACCCAUACGACCUGAGGGUGAAAGCGGGGGACCGAAAGGCCUCGCGCUAUUGGAGCGGCCGAUGUCGGAUUAGCUAGUUGGUGGGGUAAAGGCUUACCAAGGCGACGAUCCGUAGCUGGUCUGAGAGGACGACCAGCCACACUGGGACUGAGACACGGCCCAGACUCCUACGGGAGGCAGCAGUGGGGAAUUUUGGACAAUGGGGGCAACCCUGAUCCAGCCAUGCCGCGUGCGGGAAGAAGGCCUUCGGGUUGUAAACCGCUUUUGUUCGGGAAGAAAUCCUCUGGGCUAAUACCCCGGGGGGAUGACGGUACCGGAAGAAUAAGCACCGGCUAACUACGUG